CCUACGGGAGGCAGCAGUAGGGAAUCUUCCACAAUGGGCGAAAGCCUGAUGGAGCAACGCCGCGUGGGUGAAGAAGGUCCUCGGAUCGUAAAACCCUGUUGUUAGAGAAGAAAGAGCGUGAGAGUAACUGUUCACGUUUUGACGGUAUCUAACCAGAAAGCUACGGCUAACUACGGGCCAGCAGUCGCGGGAAUACGUAGGUGGUAAGCGUUAUCCGGUUUUAUUGGGCGUAAAGGGAACGCAGGUGGUCUUUUAAGUCUAAUGGGAAAGCCUUCGGCUUAACCGGAAUAGUGCAUUGGAAACUGGGGGACUUGAGUGCAGAAGAGGAGAGUGGAACGCCAUGUGUAGCGGUGAAAUGCGUAGAUAUAUGGAAGAACACCAGUGGCGAAAGCGGCUCUCUGGUCUGUAACUGACGCUGAGGUUCGAAAGCGUGGGUAGCAAACAGGAUUAGAUACCCUGGUAGUC
rnacentral:rRNA from 1 species